UGGUGUGUGACCCAGCAUGGUUUGAGGAUUGGACUAUAACUCUAGAGACUAGGUUCAAAUCCUGGCUUGGCCA